AUUGAACGCUGGCGGCAUGCUUUACACAUGCAAGUCGAACGGUAACAGGCCUUCGGGUGCUGACGAGUGGCGCACGGGUGAGUAAUGCAUCGGAACGUACCCAGAGGUGGGGGAUAACGCAGCGAAAGCUGUGCUAAUACCGCAUGUGAUCUGAGGAUGAAAGCGGGGGACCGAGCAGCAAUGUUUGGCCUCGCGCCUUUGGAGCGGCCGAUGUCGGAUUAGCUAGUUGGUGGGGUAAAGGCCUACCAAGGCGACGAUCCGUAGCUGGUCUGAGAGGACGACCAGCCACACUGGGACUGAGACACGGCCCAGACUCCUACGGGAGGCAGCAGUGGGGAAUUUUGGACAAAGGGCGCAGGCCUGAUCCAGCAAUGCCGCGUGCGGGAAGAAGGCCUUCGGGUUGUAAACCGCUUUUGGCAGGAACGAAACGGUGUCCGCUAAUACCGGGCGCUAAUGACGGUACCUGCAGAAUAAGCACCGGCUAACUACGUG
rnacentral:rRNA from 1 species